UACGUAGGGUCCGAGCGUUGUCCGGAAUUACUGGGCGUAAAGCGUGCGCAGGCGGUUUUGUAAGCCAGAUGUGAAAUCCCCGGGCUUAACCUGGGAAUGGCAUUUGGGACUGCAAGGCUGGAGUGCGGCAGAGGAGACUGGAAUUCCUGGUGUAGCAGUGAAAUGCGUAGAUAUCAGGAGGAACACCGAUGGCGAAGGCAGGUCUCUGGGCUGACACUGACGCUCAUGCACGAAAGCGUGGGGAGCAAACAGG
rnacentral:rRNA from 1 species